rnacentral:rRNA from 1 species
CCUACGGGAGGCAGCAGUGGGGAAUGUUGCACAAUGGGGGAAACCCUUAUCCAGCGACGCCGCGUGAGGGAAGAAGGUUUUCGGAUUGUAAACCUCUGUCAGUGGGGACGAUAAUGACGGUACCCACGGAGGAAGCCACGGCUAACUACGUGCCAGCAGCCGCGGUAAUACGUAGGUGGCAAGCGUUGUCCGGAAUUACUGGUGGUAAAGGGAGCGUAGGCGGGAUGUCAAGUCAGAUGUGAAAAUUAUGGGCUCAACUCAUAAGCUGCUUUGGAAACUGAUCUUCUUGAGGGAAGUAGAGGCAAGGGGAAUUCCUAGUGUAGCGGUGAAAUGCGUAGAGAUUAGGAGGAACAC